AUUAUAAUCAUGUAAAAUUGUCAUUUAUCAACUACUUUUAGAUUAUUUUAUCAUAUAAAAUUGUCAUAUAUAAACUGUACUUUUAGAUUAAAAAUAAUAUUAAAAAAAACCUCAACUAACACUUUCUACUGCAAUAGAGUUUCAAUGAUUGAACAAAAAAGAGAAUCAAAUCCAAAAGGGUAACACAUGGUAAUUUAAAAAGUUGAUAGUGAUUUAACAAACCUGCCAUAAUGAAGCUUUCUCAGCCCAGAACUUAGAACCACCAGAAAACUCAGAAUCAAACCCAUUAGGAAGAUGCUGAUUAUGCUGCUGCUGUUGUUGUUGUUGUUGAUAGAUAACAUCAACUUCCUCAGCAGUGUUCCCCACCAUAUCUUCCCUACUCCCGCACCCACCCAAUCCCUCCUCCUCUUGAAACCUUCUCGAAAUAAACCCAAUCAUCUCAUCUCUCUCAACAACCUCACGCUCAAGAUCCUCCACACGCGCCUUAGAAUCUUCCACCACCGCUCUCAACCUCACGAUCUCCUCCGACGCGGCGUCGAUUCGCCGUAAGAGACGCUUCUCCUCAUCGCGCCAUGAGUUUCUGUGUGAAGCGAAGAUCUCAGCGACUCUUGCGUUUGCUUUGUAGUCUUCUUGCCGGCGUGAUUUUAGCUGACGUAGCUCUUCUUCUGCACGAAUGGUGCGUUGAGAAUGUUCUCGAAGGUUUGUUGGAAGCAACGCUAAGAAGACAGAGAAGCUUAGACCUAUGUAGGAUGAAAAUAGCUUCCUCAUUUCUUCGUGUUCGUCUUGUUCUGCCAUUGAUGGUGAGUGUAUGAGAAAGAAAGGAGUGAAAGGGGGGUUUUGGUUUUUGUGGUGGGGGUGCAAAGAGUGAAAUGAAAGAAAGAAAGGGAAAAGGAGUGUUUCUUUUUUGGUUGGGAGAAACAGAAAAGGGGGGGACAGUGGCUGUUUGUCUGGUUUUGUGAAGUGGGUAGCUGGCUACGUCGUUUUAAUGGGUUUGCUGUUUGGUGAUUAAUAAUUACAAAAGAUUGUUCUGUCUCUCACAACUAAACAUAUAGUUAGGUUCUGCUCAUUUUGUUUGAAUAAGUGGUUCUAUUAAUGAAAUUAGUCAUUCGUGUAAAAAAUUAGAUGUGCUAAUGUGUUUCAUUUUAUGUACAGUAAGCUUGUAGUUGUUCACCAAAAUGACCGGCUUUGAGAUGGAAUGAUUGGUUAAACCCCAU
rnacentral:lncRNA from 1 species